rnacentral:rRNA from 1 species
GUGGAUUAGAUACCCUGGUAGUCCACGCCCUAAACGAUGUCUACUAGUUGUCGGGUUUUAAUUAACUUGGUAACGCAGCUAACGCGUGAAGUAGACCGCCUGGGGAGUACGGUCGCAAGAUUAAAACUCAAAGGAAUUGACGGGGACCCGCACAAGCGGUGGAUGAUGUGGAUUAAUUCGAUGCAACGCGAAAAACCUUACCUACCCUUGACAUGGAAGGAAUCCCGGAGAGAUUUGGGAGUGCCCGAAAGGGAGCCUUCACACAGGUGCUGCACGGUCGUCGUCAGCU